rnacentral:snRNA from 1 species
GAUUAUUCCUGAACAUUUACUAAAACUGGAACAAUACAGAGAAGAUCAGCCUGCGCAAGGAUGACGCGCAAAUUUUUUAUGAGCGUGUGUAGUGC